rnacentral:rRNA from 1 species
UACAGAGGGUGCAAGCGUUAAUCGGAAUUACUGGGCGUAAAGCGCACGUAGGCGGCUUUUUAAGUCAGAUGUGAAAGCCCCGGGCUCAACCUGGGAAUUGCAUUUGAAACUGGGAAACUAGAGUGUGUGAGAGGGGGGUAGAAUUCCAAGUGUAGCGGUGAAAUGCGUAGAGAUUUGGAGGAAUACCAGUGGCGAAGGCGGCCCCCUGGCACAACACUGACGCUCAGGUGCGAAAGCGUGGGGAGCAAACAGG